rnacentral:rRNA from 1 species
UUAAAAGAAUUUUUAUUUGAAAUAUUUUGGGGUUAAGGUAUUUUAAUAAAAAAAAUUAAUAAUUUUAUAGUAAAUAAGUAUUGUAAAAGAAUAUUGAAAUAAUUUGAAAUUUAAUUUGGAAAAAAGUAAUAUUAAAUUUAUGUAUCUUGUGUAUCAGAGUUUAUUAAAAAUUUUUUUUAGUUAAAGAUUUUUCGAAUUUAAAAGAGAAAAUUAAUUAUAAAAGUUAUUGUUUCAAAAAUAUUUUUAAUAAUUAGUUGGAAGUGAGAUGUUAAUCGUUUUUAAAUAUAUCUAGUUUUUUAAGAAAAAAAUUUAAUUUUAAAAUUUAAUUUAUUAAAAAUUAAUUUAAUAAAUUUUUAAUUAUAUUAAAUUUUAAUAAUUUAGGGGAUAAGCUUUAAAUUAAAUAAUUAUAAUUUAUUUAGGGUUUUAAAAUUUUUAGGAUUUAUAUUGUUAAAUAAAAUAUAUUUUAUUAUAAAUAAUUUUAAAAAUUAUUUAAAAUUUAAUAUUAAGUUUAAUUUAUUUAUUAAAAAAUAAUUUUUAAUUUUAAAAAUUUAAAUAUAAUGAUAAAAUUAGUAUAUGAAAAUGGUGUAAUUAAAAUUAAAUUUAAUAAAUUUGAUUAAAAGGAAUUCGGCAAAUUUAUAUAUUCACUUGUUUAUCAAAAACAUGUCUUUUUGAGUAGAUAAUUUAAAGUCUAAUCUGCCCACUGAUAAAUAUAAAUAUUAAAGGGCUGCAGUAUAUUGACUGUACAAAGGUAGCAUAAUCAUUAGUCUCUUAAUUGGUGACUUGUAUGAAGGAUUGGAUGAAAUAUAGACUGUCUCUUAAUUAAGAGUAGAAUUUAAUUUUUAAAUUAAAAAGUUUAAAUAAAUUUAAAAGACGAGAAGACCCUAUAGAGUUUUAUAUAAUGUUUAAUUAAGUUUUUUAUUAAAAUUAAAAUAAAAAUUAUUUAUUAUAUUUUAUUGGGGUGAUAGAAAAAUGGAAAUAACUUUUUUUAUAGUUUAACAUUAAUAAGUGGAAAAAUGAUCCAGAAUUUUUGAUUAAAAGAAAAAAUUACCUUAGGGAUAACAGCGUAAUUUUUUCUUUUAGUACAAAUAAAAGAAAGAGUUUGCGACCUCGAUGUUGGAUUAAGAUAAAAUUUAGGUGCAAAAGUUUAAAGUUUUGAUCUGUUCGAUCAUUAAAAUCUUACAUGAUCUGAGUUCAAACCGGUGUAAGCCAGGUUGGUUUCUAUCUUUAAAAAAAUAAAAUAUUUUAGUACGAAAGGAUUAAAUAUUUAAAAUAAUUUUAAAAUUAAGAAUAAU